UUCCUCGUAGUAUAAUGGCUAGUAUCUCAGCUUGUCACGUUGAAGAUCCGGGUUCAAUCCCCGGCGAGGAAG
rfam:Thecamonas trahens ATCC 50062 unplaced genomic scaffold supercont1.47, whole genome shotgun sequence.